GAGGAGGGAGAAAGAGGUCGUCAAGCUUAAGGUACGAGGGAGGAAGGACAAUGCUGCUAAUCCUGUGAGAUAGCAGAGGAGGAAACUCUGAAUCAUUUAAGCGUUAAAAGGAAGGUAUAAAAUAGAUCACUGAUACUAAUUUGACAGAAAAUGAUUCAUUUCUCACGUACCAAUGUAGUUGUUAUUGCUUCUGGGACAAAAUGGUUUCAUGAAUCAAAACCUCAGUCUGAGAGAAAAGUACACAGGAUAAGUUGUACACAUUUAAGAAAAUAUUUUACCUUUGAAAAAGCUUAGAUGUAUUUGUUCUCUGGGUUUAACUUUAAAUCACCCCCCGUUUACCUCUUUUCUCUAACAUUUCUGCUCCCCUAUUUCUAUCAAGACACUCAAGACAUACUGUAACUUGCAUUAAGGCCCCUUUAUGCUGUGCGAUUUUGGGCUGUCAAAAUUUGACAAUCUUGAACUUUAAGUUAUCAAUAUUAUUCUCUAAUCUAAUUUAACUUUAUUUAAAUACAUAUGACAUUUCCAGUAUUAAUCUUUUUAUUAAAUCAUUGCAGCAUAAUAACUGUUUCAUUAUCAGAUGAAAAAACUGAACUGACAGUAGACUGACCAUGAACAUCAGAUCUCUGGGAAGAAAAGUGUUUGACAUUAGAACAAAAGACCUGUUCGGAUUUAGAUUUAUCACAAACAGAAGUAUAAUGUGAAGUUAAAGGCUUCACAUACUAUUCCAAAACCUUUACAAUUAUCAAAAUCAUCUGUAUCUGGCAUGAAUGAUAGUCACUGCCAUUUAUUUUUGAAAGAUGCAACAAGAAUGAACAGAAAUACUUUACUUUUAAUUUUUUUUAAAUAUUGAUAUUAAUGGCAUCUUUAAAUCUGAAACAUCAAUUAGGGGCUUUGUUAAAAACAUCCAUAAUUUAAAUGAUAAAGGUGAAUUUUGGUGAGAAAUCUCUGAAACAAAUGUGUUAUUCCCGCUCAAAAGUCAUCUGUGUGGCUCAUGUUGAAUAUACAAUACUUCAAACAUUCUCGGCAGCCUUAACAGAAAUAAACUUUCUGCUGAUUUUUUUCCAAAUCAUCUUUUUUCAACACCUUUCUCAGCAUGGUCCAGGUCGCUUUCCGUAAGUACCUUUCUCUAUUAAGAUCCAUUGUUCUUCUUCAGAAAUUCAUCACUGAUGAUCCUCAAGUGUUUUGAUCACCACGCUUCCUUUACUUCUUGAAAUUUCACUGGAAAGGUUAUCCAAAGGUGUAUAAAAAGCAGUCUAAACAUUAUAUUUCGAGCCUUCCAUUUUGAAAUGAUCUGAGCAAGGGAAAGGUCUGUGUGUAUCUUUAUGCACAUGCUUCUGCUCCCUUUUAUGUUUAGACCAAUCUUACUGUUAAUAUAGUGUACAGAAGAUUCACAUUCACAAUAGCAAAAGGGCAUAAAGUUGACAUAGUUUAGUAGAGUUUAGAGUACCACAGACAUGAUGAAUAGAAACAUAUGGGUAAUGGACAGAUGAGUUUAAAAAGAAAGCAAACAAGGAGUGGGGUAAAAAAUAGAACAGUGGCAUAUUGGACAACACAGAUAAAGUGGAAGACUGACAGAUGUUAAGGGUAGGAAGGAAAUUAGUGGUAAGGAGCGGGACGAGAAAGGGGAAAAACACAAUGUGAGGAUGACGAGAGUAAGAAGGGUACGAGUGAGUGCAGAGAGAGAGAGAGAGAGCAGGACAGAUAUGGGCCACAGUGACAUUAGGCAGAUGGCUCAGAGCGCUCAGCUCUGUUUACAUUACUCUCACUGAUCAAGCAAAAACAGCCAUGAGACAAAAGUGAAACCUGCGGCAUGAUGUGCGCUCGCAGGUGAAUGCCGCCUGUCAGUCUAUACGGGUGCAGUCAAGACGUGUGAAGAUGUGUUUUCUCCCAAUCAGCUUCAGCGACUCUCCCACUGUCCUUAUCUGAAAUGACCAGAACCACGUCAACAGAUAAAGAGUCAAGCCCCGCCUGCGCACUCUGCUCCCUCACUCGGCCAGGGUGGUCUUUACACUGAAGCGAUGUUUCUGUAAACAUGGACGGGGACGUGCUGGGGGUCCCAACAGCGAAAAACUACACAGCACGCACAUUUCUGCUGGCAACAAGGCGAGUGUGACUACUGUGGAGAGAGUGUGACUACUAAAGUAUUCUUGCACUGGAGUUGCAAAAGAGUUUUUAUUUAAAGGACAGAAUCUGCCUAAAAAGACAGGAGCUUGAAAGAAUAAAGCUCCUUUUCACAAUAUUAUCAAGUUUUUCUGAAAUGCAUGGGAUCCCUGCUAGGACGCUAGGCUUUUUCAUGCUGUGGGCAGACAACAGGUUCAGGGAUAACUGUUGUGAUUAAAUAAAAAAGCCUCUAAAAAGAGCAUUAGAGGAAUGUAAACCAAGCAUAUGAUUGGCAAAGGACAAAAUAGCCUACACGCCUGCAAAACAUUCACAGCUGAUGCUUUUGUGUAUUUGUAUAUAACCACAGGUAUGGAGAUGUUUCCCAGUGUUUAAAUGUUUAUUUUGAAAAUGUUAGUCCUGAAUCAAUCUACUGUACAAUGAAAGGUUCUAGCCUCAAAGCCUUAUAGUUCAUUCACACCAGUUUAGCUAAUGUAUUUAAGUUGAGUCUAUAGUGUGGUUGCUCUGGUAAUACUACAGCAUUGCCUGUUAAUGUAAUUUUAAUGCAUCUAAACUAGGGCUGAAACGAUUAUGAUUAUGACUAGCAUACCACAACAGCACGACGGCAAUGCUUCAGCAUCAGAGCAGAAAGCAUCCAGUCUACACAUCGAGUCCACAGAGCAGACAGGAAACAAGGUAACGUUCAUGUAACUAGCAUCGUAAAUCAUGGUAGUUGAGAUGAAGGCUAACAAUGGUAGGGCACACUUUUUAGUAAAUGUAUAAUCAUGCAUUUGUUGUUUGGGUUGUAACGUUACAAUGAUAUGAGUUACACAGGUGAUCCCCAUACUGGGGGCGCCAAGCAAAAGUAUUUCUUAUCCGAUUACUCGAUGAAGCGAUGAAUCAACGAAAUAAUACUUGAUUAAUUAAAAACAAUGAUAGGGGCACCUGCAAUCUUUAUUGUUAAAUUUGGGCCCUAUUUUCACAUAUUUUAAAACAUUUGUUGUGUGGGGGCGCCGGUUAGCUCACCGCUAGAGUGCGUGCCCCAUGUAAGAAGGAUGAGUUCUUGCCGCAGCAGCCCAGGUUAGAGUCGGGCCUGUGGCCCUUUGCUCCUCUCUGACACUGACUCACGUUUUCACUGGCGUCUUCCUGCAACAGCUCGCUUCUCAAGAGAUUUCAGAGUGACAAUUGUCCUUUUACAAGACUUCUGUUUCAGAGGGUAUUACCGGGUGUUACUCUUAGGGAUCCUUGAUGUCUGAGCCUGUCGGUGGCAAGAAGAAGCAGUUUUUGUGAAUGUAAUUUUGAAAAAGGAAUACGUUGAAGCCACUGCAGCCAUUUUGCGGCUGCCGAUAACUGCACGGAUUCCAAAACUUUUUGUACCUGCCAGUCAUUUCUACCCCAAAAUAUGUGAAAAUAGGGCGCAAGUUUAAAAAUACCAAAAUUACCCUUUAAUGUUUAAUGUUUUUUAUUGAUUUAAUUAAUUAAAUAUGGAUUUUCUGGUUACCUAAUUUAAUCUGAUUGCUGGUUUUCUAAUUGUUUAAUUUAAUUUGUUAUUUUUUGUUAUGCUAGCUAACUCAUCAUUCUGACAUUAGCCCGUCUCGACGACGAAACACAUUAAGAACUUCUUCUCAGAUCGGAGCAGUAUUAACACAAAAUUAAUUUGAUUUUAUAUAGAACAGGAUAUAACAAUUACAUCACGUUCAAAUUACAAAUCACUGCUUUUAUAAACAUUUGUCAGCUGGAAAAGGCUUUGACCAGCGUGCACACGCACUUACCUACGUAACCACGCUGAACAUGUUCACACACACAAACCCCAAAACACACACAUAGAGCCAAAAGAAGAUACAUAAUAAAAGAUAAAGAAAAGAAAAGCUAUGUUUAUUGACCUGUUACAUUCAUUCCUCCUGAAUUGUGUCCCCCUCCCAGUUUUUAAAAAAGCUUGUGCAUCUUUGAGGCUUAAAAACACAUCUCUACAUUACUGGGGCUACAAAUGCACAGUCAUAGCAAGCUGACCGGAGAUAAGCUUCCUUGAACUGGACAACUGGUAAACAACAUCCUGUGCAUCCCUUCCUCUCGGCUCCCCACCACCUCCACUCAUAUGACCUCUCCUCUGUCAUCGCCAUGUUUAAUUAUGGGCCGUCUCAUUUCGACAGCAGGGGGGAGGAAAACAAAGCACAAAUCUAUCAGAGCAGCCAAACAGCAGCAUGUCUAGAAAGCUCAGACCCCUCCAACGCCCGCUCUUCGAGCUUUCAGAUUCUAAGAAGGAGAAGUGAACAGCAGAAAUCAAUUUUGACCUGAUUUCUUUCCCUUUUUUAUGUCUUUACUUGAAGCAACGGUUACCAAACUGUACACCAGCAGGCUGAACUGGGUCUCGGCUGCUUGAGUCGUAGUUGUUUCCAUGGCAACCACUGGACCAGCUGAACACAAGCACUGAGGGAGACACUUAGCAAUGCCGUUUAUUCCCCAUCAUUCUCAGAAGUGAUGCUAAACUCAUUUUCCAGCGCUCUUAUUGGUCCACAGAUUGGCGGUGGUGGUAUGUGUGUCUGAGGGUGCGUAUUUGUGUGUCUAAAUCCACGUAAUCCUCAUACAAGUAAAAACAGGCAGUGACAAAUGAGUGAAGAGACAUAUUUACGUAAUGAGGGAUCAUAUAACAUUAAGGUGUAUCUAUGUUGAUAUACUGCAACCUUUCUUAAAGCUGUGGUGUGUUUUCUUUAUGUGUGUGUGUCUGUGUGUUUGUGUGUGUGAUCCCUUAAGUCAGCACCCGCGAGCAAAGUGUACAUGUGACAGGUAUUCUCGUUAAAAUGCUGCUGGCGCGUUAAACGCACAAAUUAUUUAUCAAGGAGGCUGUGGACGGACUGCGUGGUGAGAAUAUCGGAUUCUCCUCCGAUCAUGAUGCCUUGCUGCACCCUCCUUCCUUUAUACAGGGUGUCUUGUUCUAUAGCUGUAGCUUUGCACAGGUGAUCAUCACAGGCUGACACUUCCUCCACUGGGAUCCAAGUCUCCCAUCUUGAUGCAUGAUGCACACAAGGUUAUUCUAGCACCGGGAGCUGCUGAGAAACUGUGAUAGAGUUGAUAUAGUUGAUACUGUGUGAGAUUUGCGCUGAUUAAAGUGCAUUUAUUCUCUGUAUAACAUCCUGGAAAUUUAAAAAUUGAGUAAACAGCCAUUUGGAAAGCUUGACGUCAGAGUAUUGUGGACUUGCGUAUAAACUAAGAGCAUUGCUACAGGAGCAGCACAUUGUUAUUUAAACUCUAUUCCCUUAUCUUAUCUACUUAAUAAAAAACACACUUUAAACACUUAGCGGGAGCUUGAGAAGGAGACCAGUGAAACAUAUUGACUGUCCCCUGACCCACGUGGAGGCCUAAUUUGCCCUCUGUGCUGUUUAAUGGGCUUUUAGGGGCUUAAGCAACCAUCUCUGCCGUGGUCAAAGAUCAGAGCAGAAAUGCAUUACGUUAUGCUUCAUUAACAGAAAAAGAUGAAGAAAUCGUUGUAUAUACAGUAUUAGCCUCGCUCUGCACCAGGGUAGUGUUAAGUGUAGGUGAAAACGCAGCCCCACGUAUGCAGAGAAAAGGGAGUUAAAGUGACCUGCCUGUUGCAGUGACUGUUCCAUGUGACGCAACAGAAACGUUGAGGGCCAGGUAUUUUUAGGAAUCAGUCUUUGACCUCUCACAGCACUUGUGUCAACAAUAUCCACACAACAAUGCUAGCCAGUGUCGGAGGCCAUAAAGCAAAAAGCUCUGGGGUGAAGAAUGCAGAAUAAUGAGAAGCUUCAGUGACAAAAUCCAACAAUUUUGUUGACAAACGUAUCAGCAGUGAUCAGCAUGCAUGCAAAAUAAAGUGUGUAUGGAAACGUGCUUGGGCUUUACUUGUGCAUUUUUCUGAUUUAAUCCGGGACAGAAGCGUGACUGUAUAUGUUAAUGUUCACACGCAAAUGGACUCCCACACAUACAGGCAGGACAAUAGUUUUGGAAUGUUACUUCCCAAAUAAAAACCAACAGCAGCAAUGCUGACAAACAUUCAAUAGAGACAAGAAGGGAAGGUGACAACCAUAACAAAGCAUGGGAUGGUGUGUAUGUGUAUUGAUGGGUGGCUGCUGGGUGGGACAUGCACAUGCACAUGAGUUGGUACUGUAUUGCUUUGUCGAACUGAUUUCAGCUGAGGAGUCUGAGGAUUGUAGACAUGGCGACACAUAAAAACCAGGGAGCAGCAGCAGAGAUGAAGCUCAACAGGACGUCUCCAUACAUUUUACAUGUUACAGCUUUGAUAGAUAGUUCUUUUGAAAUCAAUCCUGAGUAUACCAAGGCGAUGCAAAUUCCAAAAUACUGUUGUUUAUGGUGUGAGUGUGUAGAAUAAGACACUCAAAGUGAAGCUAAGAACAGACACACGAGUCUACCGUAUGCAGCUGUGAAAACACACCUACCAACCAUCGCCAAGAGCAAUACAGCUUAGGAAACAACCAGAUGGUCUGCAUGUGUUUUGAAAGGUUUAAAGGGAUUAAGGGCCAUAAAUUUCAAGAGAUGAAAAUUAAAUACUUCUCAUGUAGCAGACAGACACCGCCAAGAUGUCUGCAAGAGCCUCAGAAUACUAUUACUCAUACCAACACCCAUUUCCAAUACAAACAUCACAUUCAACAUUUUGUAAUAAGAUUUUUGCAAUUAUAGCGCAGCAUAUUUUGGUCAAGAAAUGUUAAAGUAAACAAACUACUUGUACUACUGUUCUGUUUUCAGCUUAUUCUUUGUUUAUGUCUUGAGUUAGGUUGGUCUUUUAUUUUCCUGUAAAGCACAUUCUGUCAAGACUUCUAUUUUGGUCAUUCAUGUCUCUGAUUUCAAACACGUGUUUUACUUGUUUUGUGUUAUGGACUGUACACUGUAACUCACUGACAAUGUACUUAAGUACUUUACCUAUUUUACAAGGCAGCUUGCCUGUCAAAAUGUCAGUUUAGAUAGGUCUGGUAUCUAUUCUACAGUAACAAGUGUGUGUGGCUGGAAAGUAACUACACACAAUAUAAAUUGAAUGCCAUGUUGCACAACAAACAAAAGCUUGAUAAUUUGAAGGCCGUCAUCUUUAAAGCCACAGAUAUCCAUAACACAGACAACUGGUCAUAAAUCUAAGAUAUUUCUAAUCCAGCACUUUUAUUUCUUUGACUGCAUACGCACCAACCAAAAUGAAAGUUUGUAAAUAAAUAUCUUGAUGAAUUUAUCAAAAUUUAACAGUCAAAAACUCAGUUAAUAUGCUUCAUCAGGACUGCAUGAGUGUGGUUUGAUCUGAUUUGAUUGACAUUGACCCGGAUGGGGUGAUCAUAGCCAACACUGACAUUAACUCUAACCCACUGGCCUCAUUAAUCAGCUUCUCGUACUUCUGGAGAGAAGAGAGGCCCGUGUGAAAUCAGACAUCCAGAAUCUAGUUACUGUCCCAGUCAACAGUAACCACCUGACCCAACUCAACUGCACAGACUCCUUCUCAGUUGCCUGUUUAAAUCCGCAGUGUCUGCAAAUGAAAAGAUACAGUUACAUCAUUCCUCACACACAACUUUAUCAUUAUCCAUACCCAUCGACAGCAACAGAAAAACCCAGUGAGGUUAAUGAGUUAUUGGAGAAAGAGGAAAUACUUGCACACAAUCGUGAAGCAGUGAUUGAUGACACUGUUUUACAUAAUACACAGGCGACCUCAAGAAUAAACAGCAUUGCCGGGCCGCAGCUAUCUCAUGACAUUCAUUCACUUAACAAUGGCAAACAAUGUUGGAGCAUGUGAUGGAUUACACUAUAAUUUAUCAUGCAUUACAGAGUUCCCACAGGUCCCUAACUUCAGUUAUUACUUCAUAAUAAACACACGCAAUAUUACCACAAAGUGGUCCGUGUUUAAGUGUCUUAUUUGGGUUGUUUUCUAAGAAUAGAUUAUACUAAUACGUGAAAGGAUAUGUUACUGAUUACAUCCCUUAUGGUGAUGGCAGAGACAUUACAGUGACAAUCAGUGAUUCAUAAUUAAGUCCUGUAUCCCCCUAUUGUUUUCAUGUAAUGGCCUUCCCAUUGUGCUUUUGAUAACUUUUCCCCAAGGAGACAACAGUUGCAGAACAGCUAAGUCAGUACAGAAAGCAAGC